UUUGUAAAAAAAAAAAAAAACAAACCUUGGAAGAUUCAGGAACAAAGCUUCUGUGUGAAGGAUUAAAACAGCCAAACUGUAUCUUAUGGACAUUGAGGUUGUACCGAUGCCUUAUCUCUCCUGCUUCUUGUGGGGUACAGGCAGCUAUUCUCAGUACCAGUCAGUGGCUCACUGAUCUGGAAUUUAGUGAAACCAAAUUGGAAGCUUCAGCUUUGAAAUUGCUUUGUGAAGGCUUAAAAGAUCCAAACUGCAAAUCAUGGAAGCUCAACUUGAGCACAUGUUACCUAACAGAUGCUAGCUGUAUGGGGCUCUCUUCUUUCUUGCAUGUGAGUCAGACUUUAAAAGAGCUGUUUGUGUUUGCCAAUGCCCUAGGGGACACAGGAGUAUAGCCUCUCUGUGAAGGUCUGCAGCAUGCAAAGGCUAUUCUCCAGAAUCUUGUGUAAGUGUCUGAUUAUCCUUGUUCUCACAGA